CAGUGAUGACCAAUUCUUUGUGCUUGCUCUAUUAAUUCUAUUAAAACAGGGCAAGACUAAGAUUCAUUGAAAGGAUCCAAGCAGCUACUGUGCCAACCAGCAUCUGGUGACAGCUUCAAACCCGUAGUCACAUAGACAGCUCAGUUCCAGGGCUUCCUGCAUAGCUGAGACUACAGGAAUGAACUAGAAGUUUGAGUUACCCUUGGUGAAAUUGUGUAAACCCUGAAAACCCUUGGUCUCCACAAGCUCCCCUCUUCCAUUUGGGAUACCACCCUGUUCCCGUUCCACUGGCCAGAUAUGCUGCCAACAUGAUGCCCAUUCCUCCUGGCAGCCAUCAUUCUUCCAGUGGGUGGACACAGGACUCCAACAAGAAAAUCAGACUCUCCCUGAAUCUUACAUAAGGCACUAAGGAAAAAAUGGCCAUCCUUUCACUGUUGCUCUGACAGAUGAACUGAGAGCUGCUGUCUACCAUAUUCUAUAACCAUAAAGGAAAGCUCAUCAGUAAAAGUAGAGACUGGGGCCCAGCCCAUCACCCAACAUAAACAUGGGGAUGCCAGCUGCUGUAACACUGGGAAUUUGGAGGAGUCAGCACAAAAGUGUGAACACAAGGAAGCAUUCUGAUGAUUCUGCUCAUCAUAGACAACCUGCAAUAAAAAGUAAAGCAAGGCAAGCUCUACUUCCACAGAACUGAUCUGAAAACAGUAAAACAGCACAAGCAAAGGAGCAUCUAUCUGCCUCUGUGAAGAGAUGUACCUUUGCCCUGGAUGCAACAGUCCUUAGAAGAGGGCUGGGCAAAUAAUCCUAAACCUUUUGAAAAUGGAGAAGCUUCAUUAUCUACAUUUGCAAAGACAGAAAGGUGGUGAAAAUGGACCAUGAAAAUGGGACCUAAAAUAUUUGGGAGUUUUGAGGAAUACAUACUCCUUUCCUUCAAAUAAGAUGGGCCUCUCCUUUCUUUUGCUUUUCUCUAAGAAAUUUUAAAGAUUUGAAAAAGUAUAGAAUAACUUCCCAGAAGAUGGGAAUAAAUCUACCUCAAGAUCUAGCUACUUGGUUCACUCUUGGGCACAUACCCUAAGUAUGCUUCAUCCUUCCACAAAGACAUUUGCUCAGUGAUGUUCAUUGCUAGGGAAGUAUAUUAGAAUAACCAUGGGUGCAGCCUUUUCCAGAAACUGGAAGAAGUCUACAUGUCCCUUAACAAAAGAACAGAUA
rnacentral:sRNA from 1 species